GACGAACGCUGGCGGCGUGCCUAAUACAUGCAAGUAGAACGCACAGUUUAUACCGUAGCUUGCUACACCAUAGACUGUGAGUUGCGAACGGGUGAGUAACGCGUAGGUAACCUGCCUGGUAGCGGGGGGAUAACUAUUGGAAACGAUAGCUAAUACCGCAUAAUAUUAAUUAUUGCAUGAUAAUUAAUUGAAAGGUGCAAUUGCACCACUACCAGAUGGACCUGCGUUGUAUUAGCUAGUAGGUGAGGUAACGGCUCACCUAGGCGACGAUACAUAGCCGACCUGAGAGGGUGAUCGGCCACACUGGGACUGAGACACGGCCCAGACUCCUACGGGAGGCAGCAGUAGGGAAUCUUCGGCAAUGGACGAAAGUCUGACCGAGCAACGCCGCGUGAGUGAAGAAGGUUUUCGGAUCGUAAAGCUCUGUUGUAAGAGAAGAACGGGUGUGAGAGGGAAAGUUCACACUGGACGG
rnacentral:rRNA from 1 species